rnacentral:lncRNA from 1 species
CUCGGACCAGCGCUAAAGGGAGCCGAGUUCAAUUCCCCUUCCCCCAGCUUCGUUCUAACUGUUCCUCUUUCAAGGUUUUCGGGAAAUCGAGAGACUCCAAAGUUCUCACUAAAGUUUCUCCAAUCCAACAACUGUAAGUGGCCCGAGUCUCCCACAUGUAACAGGCUCUUUCUUAGAUCUGCUGGGCAUCUCUCCUGCAAUUAUUUAAUACCAGUUAACUUUCUCAAAACUUCAAGUCCCCGGAAUCACGAAGAGUGCCAAGAAACCAGCAUGCUCAGAGAGGCAGGGCGCGCUCCAGAGCGCCCGCAGGUGGUCCUGAUGCACGGUGAGGCGCUCAGAUCUAAAACAGUCCAGAGAGAACAAAGCCAUGGGGCAACAAAGAAGGCCUUACGGUAAGAAACUAGCUAAAAAACAUUAAACCACAAAAGAGAAAAAUGUAAAAGUCUGGGUUCCUAACUACAAAUGAAGACAUAGUAAAACGUUUCCACCUGAAACAACCUCCCUCCCC